UCCACGCCAUCAUCUUCUUCUACCUCCACUGUACCACAGCCUUGCUUUGACUUCCGACGCCAACCACACCUUUCUCCAACAGUCAUCCGCGAAGAUGUCCAGGCUUCUUGGGAUUUUUUCCAAUCUUCCACCUGCAACUUUAAUCUUUGCCGUUUGAAGGUUUUGCAUGCAAAAACCUUCCAAGACCCCACCACAAGCCACUGCUAUCUUAUGGAAUAUGUGCUCUUGCCAGAGGUUGAAGGGUAAACCCAGAAUCUUGAUAACUAUGGUCUUCUGCGAUAUAUUCAGUUCGUUACAGGAGGGCGACCAAUUUUCCACUGCAAUCUGGCCAAGUUUGGUUUCAAGGGUUCUGCUCACAGUCUAAAGUUCGGCCAUGUCAAGUAUUGCCUUAUUCUUUUCAAAUGGGAUGAGGGUGAUUUUCUCUUUUGGCUGAAGCGUCUCCAGUAAGAUUUGCAAUACUUCUUCCCAAUCCUUAACAUCUGCUUUCACUUUCACAACUUUCCUCUUAAACCAGUCCCCAUUCCUUCCAUCCCAUAUUAUUUUUGAACUCGUUAUCUGUCGAAAGUACUGUUAUAGGAGUAAUCUUUUUAGUUUGCUUUUGCUGGUUUGCUUUCCCAGUUUGGCUCUCACUCACCUCCCCAGAUUUUUGUUCUUUCCUCAUAGUUUGCUCUUAAGUAUUUGAGAACUCCCAUUUUUUCUGGUUGAAAUCAUCAAGUGCACCUGCGACCAUCUUCCACCCCUAUUUAGCUUGUCCCUCUAGAAGGCAUAUUAGUUGUUUUCUCCCUUUGCCACAGAGCAGACUCUAGGGGUCUCAUUGGAGGCUAGAGGGUUGGAAGGGAGGACAUCCCACUCACUCACUUACAGUUUGCUGAUGAUACGAUCCUGUUUUGUGAAUGAGGUGGUCUUUUGGUAUGGUGAGAGACAGUUUGGAAGCUUGAUUUUAAGUUUACAAUGACAUAGGAUCUGUUAUACCAAGUGAAGGGAUGCAGUUGAAUGAAGCCAAAGUUUUGGUGCUCAAUAAGUUGUUAACUUGGAAAGGUUCAACUCUUGUGGCUUACUUUAAAGAAAAAGAGCAAAUUGAUGUGUAUCACACACUGGUGCAUUCUUUGUAAGGCUAAUGGUGGAUUUCUCCGCCGGAUAUAGAAAGCUUGUUUGGUUCCUUUUUAGUCAGGUGGCCAAGGAAGAGGGGUCGGAUUCUAUGGAGAUGCACUCGAGUGGCUAUUUGCUAGACUAUAUGGGAAGAAAGGAAUAUGAGAAUAUUCUUGGAAAAAAGUGAGAAGCAACGAAGCUUUAAUUGAAGUUAUUACUAACAGAGUUGUGCAGUGGAUGAAUCCUCUGCAAAUCUUUGAGGUUGUUUCUACAGAUGCUUUACUUAGAAAUUGAAAGUAAGUGGCUGACUCAGCCCCCUCUAUGACUGAAGUCGGGCCUAUUCGGUCUCUCCAGCUGCAGGUCUUACUAAGUUGAAUUUUGACAGUAGUAGUGAAGGUAACCCAGGCCCGUCAGGUAUUUAUUGGAGGUGUUUUCAGAAAUGAAGGAAAAGUUGUUGCACUAUUCUCAGGUCCAAUUGGUACAGGCAGAUCUCUUAGGGAUGAGAUUAUCGCUGUUGUAGAAGGAACACAAAGGGCAAAAGAACUCAAUAUCAGUACACUGAUUGUUGAAAAAAGGAGGUUCAAUUGGCUCACUCAGAAUAUGGAAGUGAGUUUUCAGUGGGUGAAGAAAAGUGCUAACUCCUUUGCUGAUUGUACUUGAUAAACAAAGGGGGUAACUUGUUCUGGGCUGUACUGUAAACUUGUGUAUUUAUUGGGGAGGACUAGGAGAGUUUAUCCCUCCUUCCUCUCUUGUACCAUCUAAUUUGUUCUUAAUGAAAUUGUUUUGUUGUUGAUCAAAAAAAAAAAAAAACGAUACCAGAGUUCAGCUAAGAACAGAGAGUAAUGAUGAGGAAUUGCAACUUAUAGCAUUUUGUCAUUUUUAUACAUUUAUUCUUAGACCUGAAGCAACUUAUGUAGGGCUGUCAAUGGGUCAGGUCUACCCGAUAGAACCAAAGUGACCGAACCAAUUAUGUUGGUUCUGGUUCAGAGUUCUAUCCCGUUGGGUCGGCUCUGGUUCUUUAUUGUGUGUCCCGAUUAUUAUCGGUUUGGGACCGGUCUUAGCUGUCCCGAACCGAUUAAAUAUCAUAACAUCUAUGAUGUUAAUGGUAUUUUACGUAAUAACAAUUAUAGUAGAUGUCUAAAAUUGUCCAUCUAGUAGAAGUACUUUAAUGAAAUCUUAUGCACCCCUAAACCCUUUCGUUUUUCACUCUUUCUAUUAUUGACUACUAGUUCUAAACCCUAACUAUUCUCAUCUCAUCUGCCGCCCACUAAGGGAGACACCUACACCAAAACCAAAAACCAGUCAGAAAACUUUGAGAUGUUGCAGUUGUAGGCGAUAAGGCUCAAGACCAGAUCUCCUUGUUGGGAAGUGUAGUGAUGGCUAUGCAGAGAAUGCAAGAAUAGAAAGAACAGCAGCAGCAAGUAACCACUAACCAGUGAUUUUUCUUCUUGAACGGCAGCAGGAAAUGACCAUCUCAUCUGAGCUAUGGUUUUUUUCUUCUUGAAUCCCCACUAUAUUUUGUUUUAUAUCGGUUGUUUUUUCUUCUUGAAUGGCAGAAACAUGUUGCAGUAGCAGGAAGCACUUUGAGCUGUGUUUUCUUUCUCUAUGUGAUUCUAUUUUUAUUUUUUGUUUCUUUUGGUACAUGGGGAUGCUUGAUGGCCCAAUAAUAGAGGGUUAUCAUUGCCUCUUUGCCUUAGCUCCUAUUAACAACUCUGCCAAGUAUUUUCUACAUUCGAUUUGAUUCCAGCAGCCAUAAGGGCAGAUUCAAUUGCAGACUUGCAGCUUUACCUCUUAAUCUUUGAAGGAAAACCCUCUGAAUUGUUCUUAUCGGGCCAGACCCAAUUAUCCUGAUUAAUAAUCGGUUCAGUUCUAGGUCCCAAACUAUUGUUCCGAUAGGGCCUGGUUCAGGACCAGACAACCUAAUUUCUUGUUGGUUCGGAACGGUUUCAUCCUGUCCCGAACCAUUGACAGCCCUAAACAUCCUGAUUGCAAGAUAUUAAUUUUUAGUUUGAUCUGAAUUCAAUUUGGUUUAUUUUUAGCUUUCUUUAAUUUUUCUUUAUGAUAUUAAUUAGGGUCUGUAUGGUGGAUACAGAGAGUCAUGUCAAUGAACAAUUAAUUAUACCAGAGUUUUUCUUCAUUUUUAUAUAUUUUUUGUGGAGUUUCUAAUGUACUGCUUUUUUUAUAUUUCCUGGAUUUUUUAUGUUAAUUUCGAAUGUUUCAUUCAGUUUGGAUAGUUUAGAUUUGGUUUGUACUGGAUUCAGAUUGGAUUGGGUCCGGUCCAUUUGUAAAUGGACACAUGUUGGAUUGGAUUGGAUAGGACCAAAUCUGGUCCAAUUGACAGCCCUAAAUACAAUCAGUCACCAAACACCAAAACAAUAACAAACUUCACCAGAAGUACUGAUCAAAAACUCCUUGAUAUUACCAAGAAUAGAUAGCACUAAAAUAGAACGCAAUACUUCUUAGAAUGGUCUUCAUUUGAUUCUGGAAAUUAAUAUAUAUACAUGUGCAUGUGACAUACAUGUAUGUAUAGAUCAGUAUUUUAAAAGGCGUGUGCCUCCAGGCAAGGCGCUCCCAAA